rnacentral:rRNA from 1 species
AGAGCGAACGCUGGCGGCAGGCCUAACACAUGCAAGUCGAACGCCCCUUCGGGGGAGUGGCGGACGGGUGAGUAACGCGUGGGAAUGUGCCCUUUGGUACGGAACAACUGAGGGAAACUUCAGCUAAUACCGUAUGUGCCCUUCGGGGGAAAGAUUUAUCGCCAUUGGAGUAGCCCGCGUUGGAUUAGGUAGUUGGUGGGGUAAAGGCCUACCAAGCCUACGAUCCAUAGCUGGUCUGAGAGGAUGAUCAGCCACACUGGGACUGAGACACGGCCCAGACUCCUACGGGAGGCAGCAGUGGGGAAUCUUGCGCAAUGGGCGAAAGCCUGACGCAGCCAUGCCGCGUGUAUGAUGAAGGUCUUAGGAUUGUAAAAUCUUUCACCGGGGAAGAUAAUGACGGUACCCGGAGAAGAAGCCCCGGCUAACUUCGUGCCAGCAGCCGC